rnacentral:rRNA from 1 species
AUACGGGGGGAGCAAGCGUUGUCCGGAAUUACUGGGCGUAAAGGUCGUGUAGGCGGCUUGAUAAGUUAGAUGUGAAAGCCUUCUGCUUAACGGAAGAAUUGCAUUUGAUACUGUCAGGCUUGAGUUCGAGAGAGGGUAGUGGAAUUCCCAGUGUAGCGGUGAAAUGCGUAGAUAUUGGGAAGAACACCAGUAGCGAAGGCGGCUACCUGGCUCGUAACUGACGCUAAUGCGCGAAAGCGUGGGGAGCAAACAGGAUUAGAUACCCCAGUAGUCC